GUGAAUCAUCAAAUCUUUGAACGCAAAUUGCACUCUUUUCGGAGAGUAUGCCUGUUUGAGGGUCAGCAUAAAAAAAAUCGACAUAGUCGCUGUUUAGUGGUGACAUUCGUCGGAAAUUGGGUCAUCUUAAAGUUUUGGGUUUUAAGGGGUUUAAAAUUUGCUUUACGAUUCAACGAACGGUUAUAAGUUUUACUUCUUACACGUUUAAGGUAAUUGAUCUUCAUUAGACGUGGCCGUUGCAUCGGAUCGGGUCGAUAAAUAUUUCGUA
rnacentral:misc_RNA from 1 species